rnacentral:rRNA from 1 species
AACGAACGCUGGCGGCAUGCCUAACACAUGCAAGUCGAACGAGACCUUCGGGUCUAGUGGCGCACGGGUGCGUAACGCGUGGGAACCUGCCCUUAGGUUCGGAAUAACUCCCCGAAAGGGGUGCUAAUACCGGAUCAUGUCUUCGGACCAAAGAUUUAUCGCCUUUGGAUGGGCCCGCGUUGGAUUAGCUAGUUGGUAGGGUAAAAGCCUACCAAGGCGACGAUCCAUAGCUGGUCUGAGAGGAUGAUCAGCCACACUGGGACUGAGACACGGCCCAGACUCCUACGGGAGGCAGCAGUGGGGAAUAUUGGACAGUGGGCGAAGGCCUGAUCCAGCAAUGCCGCGUGAGUGAUGAAGGCCUUAGGGUUGUAAAGCUCUUUUACCCGGGAUGAUAAUGACAGUACCGGGAGAAUAAGCUCCGGCUAACUCCGUG